GACUGGAAUUUUAUCAUCCAUGUCGUUGCGAGUGUAAAAUUGCACUUUCGCGCCAGCCAUUUUUGACUUUGAGUGACUUUCGAGAGCAGAGUUGCUGCUCGCACUAUUUUUUUUUUUUUUUUUUUUUUUUUUUUUUUUUUUUUUCUCUCUCUCUCUCUCUCUCUCUCUCUAAAAAAAGUCAUAAGCGUAUCACGGAAAAGUUGCUAUAUAUUUAGGUUCCAUGGUUAAACGGAGCAGUAAUGGUGUGGAAAGCGAAGACCAGGAGAAUGCUCCCCAUAACACGGCUGUUUCUGCUCUAUUCUUGCCUGUUUCCCUUUUUUAUAGUUCCUUUCCACCUGGAGCGGGUAUUCCAAUUGUGCAUUUAUACCGCCAUCUGAUGGUCAUGCACUGUCAACGGCCUUGGGGAGUCCUUCCAUCAUCCAUGAGGUGGGAAAAGAAGAUGGAAUAGGAACGAAUAGUUCGCCUUAUUGGUUCGCUGAGGAGGAUACGGCUGGAUCAAUGCCUGUUCUCCAGAUCAGAGAAAUGCAUGACAGAGACACGAAGAAAAGAGGAAGCCAAGAAUCUAGAUAUCCGAGUGCUGUUAAAGAUCCGCAUAAGAAAAAAAGCAGCCAGGAAGCCAUGAUUGAAAAGAAAAAGAGCGUGAAGUUCCUCUCUUUGCCCUUUUUUGGACGAACCAACACCAAUAAAAGCAGCUCAAGCAGCGACUCAACUGGUACCAAUAAGGCUCCGAAGAAAGGCAAACUUUCGAAAACAAAAUCUCUCAUCACGGGAUCUUUGAACAUAUUUAGAAGGAACAGCAGCAAGGAUAGCAUCAGGAGAGGCUCAAGGACCAUCAGCCGGAGUGGGUCAUUUUCGCCAGAGCGAUCAGGUUCGUUCCGGGACGGAGGAAGCUGCAGGGCUGAUAGCGUUUCCAACUCAAGCAGGUUCUUAAACGAACUGUGCCCCGGUGACGAGAUAGAACCCAACCAGUUGACCAGGGAGGCCAGGCGAGAAUUAACAUCGGACAUCGGGCAGCUCAAGGGUGAACACUGCGGGAGUGAAAUGAACCGGAAGCAAGAGCGGAUCCUUCGACAUGAAGUGGAAGAUCUCGGGAGGAAAUAUUGUCCGGACGGCCACGUGAAACAAGAGCUUCUCCGACGAGCACCGUCCCCUCCCGGAUCCCCCUCGAAGGGGUCACCGCCCCCAGAUGUCCCGACCCCGAACAUAGACCGUGCCCCGUUCAUGAACGCGGUGAGGGGGCAUUUAAAAUCACUCCAGACCCCUGAGGCUCCAAACCCACCACCGAACCCACCACCGAACCCACCAUCGAACCGACCACCGAGCCCACCGCGCUUCCCGACACCCGGCCUCACUCCCGCCUAUGACUACCAGGCGUCCUUCAGAGCUGUGAGGGCGUCUUUAGAUCUCACACCGCUGCCGCCGCCGCAGCCAGCCAUCCCGGCGGGAGAAAGGAACAGCGAGGAAAUGAGUAAGUGGAUCACGGAUUUGUGCCACGAGGCGCCCCCUGGUGCGACGGCCGACGGAGGGCGCAAGUCGCCCCCGCGGUCAUCGCCCCCGCGGUCAUCGCCUCCCGGAUCGCCGAAGAAGCCACCGCAGGUGCAGACGCCCGAGACCGCCGGAACCCCGUUCAACGUAAAGAUGUGGAGGAGAAUAGAGACGAUCAAAAAGGAGGAUAACUUGAUAAGCAGCCGCGACAAGAAACAAUAA
rnacentral:lncRNA from 1 species